rnacentral:rRNA from 1 species
UGGGGAAUAUUGGACAAUGGGCGAAAGCCUGAUCCAGCAAUGCCGCGUGAGUGAUGAAGGCCUUAGGGUUGUAAAGCUCUUUUACCAGGGAUGAUAAUGACAGUACCUGGAGAAUAAGCUCCGGCUAACUCCGUGCCAGCAGCCGCGGUAAUACGGAGGGAGCUAGCGUUGUUCGGAAUUACUGGGCGUAAAGCGUACGUAGGCGGUGACUCAAGUCAGAGGUGAAAGCCUGGAGCUCAACUCCAGAACUGCCUUUGAAACUAGGUCGCUAGAAUCACGGAGAGGUGAGUGGAAUUCCGAGUGUAGAGGUGAAAUUCGUAGAUAUUCGGAAGAACACCAGUGGCGAAGGCGGCUCGCUGGACUUAUGGUGACGCUGAGACGCGAAAGCGUGGGGAGCAAACAGGAUUAGAUACCCACGUAGUCCCUGAGCGGGCUGGCAAGGCGCAU